GAAAUGCGAUAAGUAAUGUGAAUUGCAGAAUUCAGUGAAUCAUCGAAUCUUUGAACGCACAUUGCGCCCGCCAGCACUCUGGCGGGCAUGCCUGUUCGAGCGUCAUUUCAACCCUUAGAACCCCUUGCGGGAUCUGGCGUUGGGGAUUGGCAUCCAGCCAGCCCCGAAAUCUAGUGGCGGUCCCUCCGCGACCUCCCCUGUGCAGUAGCGAUACCUCGCAGCGGGACAGCGGUCUGACCACGCCGUAAACCCCCAACUUCUCAAGGUUGACCUCGAAUCAGGUAGGAAUACCCGCUGAACUUAAGC
rnacentral:misc_RNA from 1 species